GCCAUUUAGAGAUACAUAUACACACAAAAAUAUAAUGGCAUCAUUGAAAGCUGAGAAACCUGUUGGCACACAACUCUUUGGACAGAGCAAGAAGGAAGCUUCCAAGGCCAGUGAAGGUGCACCCAAAGCUUCCGGUUCAAAGUCAGCCCCAAAAAAGGCUGCUCAAAAGCCUCAAGAACCUAAGAAGAAGGGAAAAGGUGGUAAACCAGCAGCGAAGCACUAAUAUGGUGUGCGACAAAAGCAUCGAGACCUGAAUUACUAAUGGUCUAACUAUAAUUAAUAAUAUAUAUCAAUUGUCUCAAUCAAUAUUUAGUGCACUUUAGCCAGGGACUGGUCAUCUACGUAAGUCUCUGCAGCUUGCUUUAAUGAAAUAAAAAUUUUAUUUGUAUAAAA